CUCUAUCGGGGCCGCCGAUUGCACGACAACCGUCGAUACGACGACCGAUACCAGCACACACACCACCAGCGAUACCAUCGAUCAGCGGCUGCCCGUGUACGUAUGAGAUGGGGGAGGGCGGGAGGGGCUGGUUGAGACCGGAGGCACCGGUGAAGAUGAAACCGGCCCAACCACCACUCGAGAUAUAACCCCCCCAUAACGCUUCGCUAUUGUUGUAACACCCAUCAUCCCCCAACCCCCGUGUUGUCGUGUUGCGGACAGCGUGAGUGAUGUGCAGGACGCCCUCCGCACCAACAAAAAAAAAGGAGGGACAGAACAUAAAUCCUUCAGCAACAACACGACGAGCGCGCAUUAAAUAUGGCCGAAGCAAGAACAGCGACCCGGUUUCGCAACAUUCCUCGCACCCAGAGCGCGCACACACGCGCACACCCCCCUGACCGCACAAGCACGUGAUAAUGAAGAGAAACAAGUGACACGAUGUCAAGCGAAUUACAUUACCAGCCAUCCUGAGCCAAUGGUUGCAAAUUCUCCUGGCAUUUGCCAAGUGUUUUUUUUACCACUCCACUGUCCGCUGGUGGCAGCAGCGGCUACCAUUACGCGCUGACGCGGUAAGAGAGUGUGCGUGCGUGUAUGUGUGUGCCUGUUGGGGUUUUUUUUUUGCGUGUUUGUUAUUACUGCCAACUACCGUCUGUUAUGCUUGUUAUCUGUGUAUCCGGCCGACUGACGAGGGGGCCGAACCACGGACCAUUUCUACCCUCUACCGUGGGACUGGUGGUGGUCAUGUUUUAUGCUUAAGUUUUCACGCUUCUCCCGCCCUCCAGUGCACCGGAGGCAAGUGAGAGAGACAGAGACUCCGUGACAAGGGGAACGUGUUUGCUGUAGCUAGGCAGCAGCUAGGAUGAUCUGUUGUUCUUCACCGCUGCCGUUGUUUAGUUUUGUGCGCCGUACCACCGUGCAACGGGAGAAGGAAAGCUGACACCCGGGACGAUGAUUUAUGCUGCGUGCUGCGCGGGAAAGCGGACCACGGCAAGGACAUUGAUGGAGAGCGAUCCCGCCUCACAACAGCAGCAGCAGCACUUGCAAAGAACCGAAGCCGUAACAUACGCGACGCGUCUCAAAUGCUGCAAAAGUGCCGGGAGAAUGCUAACAAGUGUUACGGAAUUAUGGUCGACGGUUCGUCACCCGGGUCACUCCGGCAGCGGCAUUUGCUCAACAACCAACCCUUUCCCAAUAGCUACAUCCACCGGUUCGGCAGUACAGCAGCAAGGUGAAGCCGACGGUAGUGACCGUAAAUGAAUCAAAAGUGAACAAUAUCAACUGGGAUGCUGGGAGAAGGUGGUUGGCGAAACACGGCACAGCAAAUGCUGCUCUGCUGGAAUGUUUUGUUCUGUCCCCGUGUCCUAGCGAUCCUGCUUCCGGAAGAAGAGGGGCAGAACAUAAGCGAAUCCCAGUACCAUCCCGGAAACACAGGCAAGGACACAGCUGCAGUAUUGCGCCGGGAUGGGCCGGGAAAACGAGAAAACUUUCCCAUCAACAAUAAGGCAUUACACUGAAGAGACAAGCGGAAAGCAGCAACAGCAGCAUUAAUGCACUGGCAAGGCAAAAAUUAUGACGACACUCAAUUCAGUUACUGUAACCGCGAGGUAAUGCAGAGCCGAGGCCUUUUUUCCAACCAAUUCGUUCGUUUCACGCAAUACAUUUCAAUUUCCUUCCCCAAACGCCACCAUGAAGAAAUAGAAGUAGAGGGAAAGGCACCCAUCAAUCCGCAGGCUCUAACCAGCGUCGACGGUGAAGGGAAAACAUCGGAUACACCCUUGCUUGUGCAUGGCUGGAACUGGACGGAUAAAUCGACGUUGAGAUAGCGAUUCCUAUUCCCACCAUCCACUGGGGGGGGGGGAGAGGCAACUAGAAAAGGUCAUUCAAUUUCCUACGGAGCAGGUUAGUUGGCGGAGUGAUGUUGUUGUUGAACUUGCCAAAAAAAAAAAAGAAGCAGUUCGAUCUUGUCCAUCUCGGUCUGUUGUAAUGAGUUUUGUCGGACGACACUGGUGAAAGCGUGGUAGAUGUAGAAGAAGAGUGUCGUAGUGUCAUACAUAGGAUGAAAGCUCCCAAAAUACCUUUUUUGUCCAGUGCGAUGAGUGCGUUUUGAAAUGUAGCCAAUCUCGGGUAGAGAGAGCGAAAGAGAUAAAAAUCACUUACCACGCCCCACUAGGUUAGGAGUUGCGUCUGUACCUGCAGCUCGGAGCCACCACCACAAACGGCAACGCCACACGCGUCUACACUGCGCGCUCCAUAGAAUCCAUGCGAUUCUUGGUAAUUUCCAAAGCAACGUGUGGGCGCUUUGGCGGCAAAAAAAAAGCGCACGGAACAACGAUGCAGCAUAGUCAUUUCCCUACCACGCUCGCUAUAAAUAGCGGUAGCUCCAGAAUGCAGCCCUGGAUAUGUCGACCCACAUGGAAGGACGACGCUGCAGUCCCAGCCAGCACCGAACCCAAUCGCGCACCGAUAGAGAGAUGACGACGAUGAUGAUGAUGAUGGUGAUGAUGUGGAGAAGAUGAAACCCCAACAGGAAGCACACAGUGCCCAAGACUAGGGGAGAGAAGGAAUAAAAAACAAAAAUAACACUAACAUGCACCCAACACACACUAUCGUCCUCGAAAACGGGACAGUAUUGAUUGCGAACCGUUCUGAUAGAGAGAGAAUGAACAACGCAUGAACAAAAAAAAACAGAAAGCAUCACCCUCUGGUGUCAUACGCACGUGCACGAGGGGUUUCGCAAUUACUUUUCGCACUUUUUGUUCGAUUUACCACUUUUGCUUGUCGGUGGAUGGCAAAGUUUUGAUUUCAUUUCGGGCCAGUUCGAGCGGAAGGCAUGAACCUCGCUUAUGGCAAACAUUCAUCAAUGUUGCUUUCUUUUUCGUCUGCUUGCUUGCUCUCGUUUCCGCUGCGCACCUGUUGUUUAUCAAAACAGCUUGUAACGUUGCGUUUAGAUUUUCGGUCUAUUCAGACCAGCAAGGCUUGUCAAUUAUUUCGAGGAAACAACAUUUUACCUACAGGAAACGAACAACCUGCAACACAACUGUUUGUACGACGGCGCACUUUAUAGUGCGGCGUAAAGUGCUGAAAUUACGCCACCUAUCUAAAAGAUAAGUGCUCAAUGUCUAGAAGUGAGCAUUCUGGAUGAAGGAAGGAAAGCAAACACAAAACAGCCAAAAAUGCUCUACUCAUAAAAAAAUCAAAAACAAUGCCACUGACACUGAACUUUUAGUGUGAUUGUUAAUAGAAUAAUGAAUGUACAUGACACAGAACAGAACAAAAAACAUUAAAGAAAAGAAGAAAUAAGAUUAAAAGACUACAUAGAAGGAGAAUGUACAUGACACAGAACAAAACAGAACAAAAAACAUUAAAAAGAAGAAAUAAGAUUAAAAGACUACAUAGAAGAAAGAUACGCGACAUCGCACACGUUACAAUAUACAAACAAUGGUUCAAUGUGUUUAGGAAAAAUCUAUUUAGAAACGCAUCUAAGAUGUUAAUAAGAAACGUAAAAAUAAAAUGAAAACAAAACAAAACAAAACAGACGAGAAAGAUAAAGUGUGGUAAGGUAAAAUAAUCGAUAGAACAAUAUACUUAAAAAAAGAAAAACAAAGCUGUACGAAAAAUAUAACUAAAUGAGGUAAACGUUACACAAUACAAGCAAGCAUUCCCUUAGGGAGAAAAGAAAAGCAAGAAAAGAAACGGAAAACAACUGAAAAACAUCUAGAACAAUGCAGCAGCGAAAAGCAGAAGAAUGUGUUUACUACUAGUGCUAAAUAGCUAAAUGGUGAGUGUUAAAACUUCAACUGUAUAACAGUUUCAAUUACAAGCAUCUAUUCACAUCUAUCGUUCCGUUUUGAGCAUCGUGUCGGUAUAUAUAUAUGUAUGAUGAUCAUUUAAAUGCAUACACAAACACAUACAUAUACACGUAAAGCUACACAACACACACACGCUCGUACUGACAAGAAAAAGAAAGAGAGAGAGAGACGAAAGAGUGAAUGGAACGAGAGUAUAACAGAAUGGCGUUUUAGUACACUCAUUUCAAAUGAUCAAUUUACACCUAUUUUUCAGUUUAAAUUGUAAUUUAUAGUUUUGUACACAUCAAGCGGUUGUUGUUAUUGUAUUUGUUUGUUUUUUUAACUACAUUUUAACUACAAUUACGAUUUAUGUUUUCCAAUUGGAAGCAUAUCAUUCCUGUUUCUUUCCAAAACACACACCUGCCUUGGAUGUACUAAUAACUGGAAAGAACAACCGCCAAACGUGGUUUUGUUUCAAAUUUUCCAUCACUUUCCCCCACCACGCCUCACCGAUCUCGGUUUAUUUCUUGCAACCACAACCUCUCCUUCUCCCCUUGCAGCCCCCAAAGGGGAAAAAGCGGGUGCACGAGGCAGUGGCAAGUACCUCCCCUCCAACAUCAACAUCGAACAGCAACAUGUUUGGAAGCAACCGCGUACCACUACUGCUGUCACCAUGUGCAUGCUGAGCCCAUUGUAUGGCAUGGCAAGGACGAAAGUCGGAGCCAACGGAAUUUUUUCGAACCAUUUUCCCUCCCUGCUUCAUGCCGUGGGCUUGCUUCUCCCUUUUCUUCUCCCCUUACCGGCGCGUUCCAGUGUGUUUGCGCUCACGAGAAGCUGCAGUAUAAUUACUGAGUUCCGAUGAAAAUACCUGCGUUUUGGCAACUAUUUAUCCCCGUUCCGACUCGUUGGCGGAAUGGCGUGUACAUCAAUUUUAUCAACCCUCGCAACACAACAAUCCAGCUUUGGAGGUUUGUUGCUCUUUGCCACCCUCUCGCCCCUCAGCUUAAUUGAAGGGGAAAGGGUUUGUGCUUCUAACGAACGCAUUUAGAAGUUGUGUCGCAACUUGUGCAGCAUAAGCAACGACACACAUAAAGCACAAAGCUUCCCGGCAUGCAGGUUUUCGGUUGCUUGCUUCAAAGUUUCCGAAAUUCCAACAGUUUCUGCAAGACAUACAUACAUUAGCAAAAAAAUAAAAAAUACGCAUGUGAAAGAAAGGUAAAGGGGAAGAAAAGGGACCUCUGGUGUACAGCAGCGAUCGCAUCGGUCCGGAGCCUAAACAGGGCCGAACGCCAACCAAACAUCACCGCCACAGUGCCCGCCCUAUCGUUGAGGAGUCGUGUGGGGCGAAGCGGGAAAGUCAUAUGAAAAUUUGGGCAAACAAACAAAGCGCUUCCACACAGUGUGAACACAGCGUUGGAAACGGGUUUGAAGCUUGCCGAUUGGAAGACAAUGUCUUCUGUUGCUGUUGGAGCAAUGUGCUUGUCUUUAAUGUUGUAGGCAGUUAUUUAUUUUGUGUGCCAUGUGUAUCAACCUAAGUUAUAUCGCUUGUGAAAAGAAAAAUAUAAUGAAAAGGCAUAGAAAAGAGAACAUCUGCUGGAAAGAAUAAAAGUGUAGUAAAAAGAAAAGACAGCCCGAACGAGAAAAUCAUACCAAACAACAAGAAGCAAAGGUGCUUGAGAUAAACAAACAAACAAACAAACAAAAUAAGACAGCAAACACAAAGAAAAAAAACGCAAACAAAAUGUACACAAAACAUAAACAAACACACAUAUUCACCUUAGUAAGUAAGGCUGCAAAACAUACAAAACAAUAGAGCUGUAUUAACUGUGGCUGCUGCCAGCUAUACUAGUGACAAUGGUAUGUGUUUUUUGUUCCGUUGUUACUUCUCUAAUACUAACAGUACUUGGGCGGGUCAAAUCCGUUUGAAUAUUUGUGAAUAUAUGUGAAGGGGGCAGACAGUGUUGAACUUUUAAGAACAAUACGUUUUUGAUUUUUUAUAUAAUACAUAACUCAUCAACAACAACAACAGAGAGAGAAAAACAACAUAAAUGUUUAGCAAAUGAAGAGGAGAAAAUGAAACAGACAAUUAACUGUUAUACAAUCAGAAUAAUCUUUACACCCUUCACCCUUGUUGCUAUCAGUGUGGAAGGAGGAAAAUAAAAUAAAUCGACAUUAUUUUUUAAGACUAUCACAAAUUCAAAUCACACUUUUCCCGAUUCAAUCUCCAUUUUAUCGCUAUCAUCGCUAACCUGCUAGCAUACGGCUGGCGUACUGUUUUGCUAAAAAACGCGGAAAACUCCACCAAACGGUGACGAUGAAGAGAGUAACCCUGCCACUUUUACCACGAAAAAAAAACGCACAUUCUUAGCUGCAUGUGCUAGUUUCUUCACAUAAGAUAAAAGCCGAAAGAAGAAAACUGAAAACUAAUAAACAGAUAAUAUAAACACUUAAAUAAACACAAACCGAAAACAUACAAGAAGUAAAUCCCGAAAACCCCGAAACGGAUGUUAGCAGUUAAACGUACAUAACCCAUACACGUCUGUCCCACUGUCGUCACUCUUUUACUCUGUAUUGGACGUAUAAAAAGAGAAGCAAAAGAAACAUAGAUUUUGUGGAUCACUGUUACCGCUAAAGCAAACAAAGUGAAACAAACAAACAAACACGACAACAAAACAGCAGAGCAGCAGAACAUAAAACCUAAAUGAUA